rnacentral:rRNA from 1 species
AACGCGCAGAACCUUACCAGCGUUUGACAUGUCUAGUACGUUUCCGAGAGAUGAUUUACUUCAGUUCGGCUGGAUUAGUGACAGGUGCUGCAUGGCUGUCUUCAGCUCGUGUCGUGAGAUGUUGGGUUAAGUCCCGCAACGAGCGCAACCCUUGUUCUUAGUUGCCAGCACGUUAUGGUGGGCACUCUAAAGAGACUGCCGGUGACAAACCGGAGGAAGGUGGGGAUGACGUCAAGUCCUCAUGGGCCUUACGGCCUGGGCUACACACAUGCUACAAUGGCGGUGACAGAGGGCAUCUANAUCGCGAGGCUGUGCUAAUAUCAAAAAGCCGUCUCAGUUCGGAUUGUUCUCUGCAACUCGAGAGCAUGAAGGCGGAAUCGCUAGUAAUCGCGGAUCAGCAUGCCGCGGUGAAUACGUUCCCAGGCCUUGUACACAC